rnacentral:rRNA from 1 species
GAUGAACGCUAGCGACAGGCUUAACACAUGCAAGUCGAGGGGCAGCGGGGUUUUAGCUUGCUAAAACUGCCGGCGACCGGCGCACGGGUGAGUAACACGUAUGCAACCUGCCCAUUGCAGGGGGAUAAGCGGAAGAAAUUCCGUCUAAUACCGCGUAAUAUCCUUUGGAGGCAUCUUCAUAGGAUUAAAGAAAUUCGGCAAUGGAUGGGCAUGCGGCGCAUUAGCUAGUUGGCGGGGUAACGGCCCACCAAGGCGACGAUGCGUAGGGGUUCUGAGAGGAAGGUCCCCCACACUGGUACUGAGACACGGUCCAGACUCCUACGGGAGGCAGCAGUGAGGAAUAUUGGUCAAUGGUCGGAAGACUGAACCAGCCAAGUAGCGUGAAGGAUGAAGGUUCUAUGGAUUGUAAACUUCUUUAAUAUAGGAAUAAAACCUCCACGUGUGGGAGCUUGUAUGUACUAUAUGAAUAAGCAUCGGCUAACUCCGUGCCAGCAGCCGACGG